rnacentral:lncRNA from 1 species
GUUGCAGUGAGCCAAGAUUGUGCCAUUGCACUCCAGCCUGGGUGACAGAGCGAGACUUCGUCUCAGAAAAAAAAAAAAAAGUAAGGUGGAUAUGUGCAGUGGCUCAGGCUAGCCAGCCUGCAGGACCACCUUUGGGAGGCCAGAGCAGGAAGAUCCCUUGAGGCUGGUCCCUAACUCCUGACCUCAAGUGAUCCGCCCGCCUCAGCCUCUCAAGGUGCUGGGAUUACAGACAUGAGCCACCACACCCGGCAAAUGUACUGUAUUUUAGUUGUUGAUAAAUGUGAAAAUAAAUAGAACAGGGAAAGGGGAUAAAUAGUGGGUGAAGCGGUGGAGGCUGCAAUUUUCAGCAGGACAGGGAGGGCAGGGUCCACGGCAAAAGUGACAGUUGGGCCCUAGAGGAAUUAGAAUGUGAGGUGAGGCUGGGGGACGGAACCUGUGGAGCACAGAGGCUACUUUGAAACCAUGGAGGUGCAGCGUGUCGUGGAGGAGGAGUGUAUCCUCUGAAGCACGCCGAUCUCCAGAGAUUCCUUCCUUACUCCCUCUUUGCUCCAGCCAGUGGAAGUAUGGCUGGUGUGAGAGUUUACCUUCUGACCAGAACUGUCUCAAGAAUUUAGGAAUUCUUGUUGCAAGAAUGUUGCAAGUGCUUGUAAUAAGUAGAAGAGGAAUAGAAGGAAGGAAUUAAGAGCUGGAAGCUCCCUGGUGGGGAUUCUGAGCUUGUAUAACACAGUUAACAUUGUUCCCCUUGAGGAUAUUCUUCAUUUAUCAGCAUCAUGCAGAAUGUCACCAUUCAGGAGUUGAAUUGUGAAUUCAAUUAAGUAGUGAUUUGGGUGUUCCUAGGUAGAUAUACUCACAAUAUGGUAGAGUUGAAAAAAUGAUGGAGAUAAAAACAAUUUUGGAGGGAAGUGGUCUGAAAAUACAGAGCAAAGUUCUUGUUUUCCAUUUAGUUACCAGGUAUUUUGUAAACCUUAUGCAUGACCUUUGUAUUUACAGAACAAAUGAAGCAUCCAUUAACUUCGAAUGAUCAGAUGCUAGGGUGUGAGGAAUUUUCAGGCCAAAAUGCACUGGGUUAUUGUCUCCUAUUGACAGUGUGAUAUUACAGAUAACCUCUAGGAGAUCCUGAACAUAUUCAGGCUAAACCAGGCAAACAAACAUUCAGGAUGUUACCAGUGUGGAAAACCCCUAGGAGGUAAGUAUGGCAGGGAAUCAGUCUGAGAAAGAGGGUAAAUCGAAUGAAGCUAUUUUGGUUAUAAAAGUGCUGCGAAUGUAUGAGAGUACUUCAAAACUACUCUCUAUGCUACAAAAGCCAAUAAGUUUAGUUAUGCAGUUCCUUUUGUGUCAUUACAUUUCAAUAGAGUUUAUUUAGUUUUGUUUCUGUUUCACCUAUGAAAUGUGUAUUAGUCAGGAUUCUCCAGAGAAACAGAACCAAUAGAAUAUAUGUAGAUAUAUAAAAAGGGAUUUGUUAUAAGGAAUUAGAUUGUGCAAUUUUGGAGGCUGAAAAGUCCCACCAUCUGCCGUGGAAAACUGGUGGUAUAGUUUCAGUCUAAGCCCAAAGGCCUGAGAACCAGGAGAACCCGUGGUGUAAGUCCUGACUUCUGAGACCCAAGAACCAGGAGCUAUGAUGUCCAAUGUCCCAGGGCAGGAGAACAUGCAUGUCCCAGAUCAACAUGAGAGAGAUAAUUCACCUUUCCUCUUUGUUCUCUGUAGGCCUUCAAUAGAUUGGCUAGUGCCCACCUACAUUGCUGAGGGCAGUCUCUUUAUUCAGUCUACUGAUUCGAAUGUUAAUUUCUUCUGCAGACAUUCUCACAAACACACCCAGGAAUAAUGUUUUACCAGCUACCUGGCUAUCUGUUUAGCCCAGUCAAAUUGACACAUGAAACUAACCAUCACAAAACUCAACUCUUAUUUUAAGAUAGCAGCUUUAAAAAAAUUUACUAUACACAUUUAAUUAAAUUUAUUUUCAGUUUACCUCUCAGUUGUACUACUUACUAGCUGUGUUACAAUGAGUACAACAUUUAGGGUUUCUGCACCUUGAUUUAGUUCUCUAGAAAAUGGUGAGUACUACUAUUGUCUACAUCACAGAAUUAUUUUGAGGAUUAAAUAAAAUUAAAAUUAUAAGGGCUGAGGACAUUACAUGGCAUAUAAUACAUAAUUAUUACAUAUUAGCUAUAAUUAUUACUGUUGUGUCAUCAUUAUUAUAAUUACCAUCAUUUUCUCACAGAAGCAUUUCAGGGCUGUUAUUACAAAACUCUUUCCCUUGUGUUUCCAAUAUGCCAACUAUUUCAAUCAAGAAAAUUAAUAGCCUAUGGAAAGACAGUGGCCUUUGUCAUCACUACGAUUGAUUCUAUUAAAUGUAUUAAAAGUAAUGGCAAAAACCCCAAUUACUUUUGCACCAGCAUAAAAUCACUAGGUGCAUGAAUUUUGCAUAAUUCUUUUAAUUUCUCAGAACCUUGAUGUUUCUCAUUUGUUCAACCAGGUAGAUAUUAUUAAUCCCUUCAAAGAGAUGUGAAGAACAAAGUUCAGAAAUGUUAAGGACGGUAAACGAUAUCAUAUUUAAGGGCUUGGCACUUCGUUGACUCGAUAAAUAGUAGCUACUACUUUGAGCUAUUAUUCCCUUUCAUGAAAAUCCUCCUACUAAAACUAUGUGCUUCUUCCAACAGAGACAGCCAAAAUUAAGACUGAUGGAGAAAUUUCCCCCAGCAAUACCACUUAAAAAUAUGUAUUUUUUACUUUAAUUGCCUGGUAUUAAGUUUUCUGCAGGAAUACAAAUAAAAUUGCUUGUAUGGCUUUGAGAAACUACAGUU